rnacentral:rRNA from 1 species
UUUGAGAGAAGGGAUGACACAGUAGGAUAAGCUAAGCACACUGUUGGUUAUGUGUGCCCAAGCAUUGAGGCAGUCAAAGUAGGCAAAUCCGCUUUGAUAAUGCUGGGAUGUGAUGGGGAGCGAAAUUUAGUAGCGAAGUAGCUGAUUUCACACUGUCAAGAAAAGUCUCUAUCGAGGUUAAAGGUACCCGUACCGCAAACCGACACAGGUGGGUGAGGAGAGUAUCCUAAGGCCAGCGAGAGAACUGUUGUUAAGGAACUCGGCAAAAUGACCCCGUAACUUAGGGAUAAGGGGUGCCACCAUCAGGUGGCCGCAGAGAAUAGGCCCAAGCGACUGUUUACCAAAAACAUAGGUUUCUGCUAAGUCGCAAGACGAUGUAUAGGAGCUGACGCCUGCCCGGUGCUGGAAGGUUAAGGGGAUCUGUUAGAGCAAUCGAAGCAGUGAACUUAAGCCCCAGUAAACGGCGGCCGUAACUAUAACGGUCCUAAGGUAGCGAAAUUCCUUGUCGGGUAAGUUCCGACCCGCACGAAAGGCGUAACGAUUUGGGCACUGUCUCAACAACAGACUCGGUGAAAUUGUAAUUCCGGUGAAGAUGCCGGAUACCUGCGACAGGACGGAAAGACCCCAUGGAGCUUUACUGUAGCUUGACAUUGGGU